rnacentral:lncRNA from 1 species
CCCGGUAACCGCCGCUCACCCGCCGCGGGCUCGUCCCGCGCCUCUGCCUCAGCGCCCGGUCACGGGGACGGCGGCCAAUCAGAGACGCCGGGCGCCGCCGGGUGACGUAAGAGGCGCGCCGCAGCCAAUGGGGGAGGCGCUCCCCCUGCCUCCUCGGCGCCGGCGACCAAUGAGCGCGCGGUCACGCGGCGACGGGGCGGGGCGAGACCGCUUGAGCGCGCGAGGAAUUCUGGGAACGGCGGCGCCGGGCGUACGGAGGCCGCCAUCUUGGCGCAGGGCGCCGCCAUCUUGGAACCCGCAGAGCGCCGCCAUCUUGGAGCCCACGGGCGCUGCCAUCUUGGGGCCUACGGGGACUUUAACGUUCUUCUCGGCGUUUAUUGGCCAGUGACGUCAUCAAAACGACGGUGACAUCAUCAGCGACGGGCGGGAGGCCCCGCCCCUUUAUUAAAGCAUCGUUAAACCCCCCCAACCCGGGGUCAAAAAGGCAACGGUCACAGUGCAGAGGUCACAGUGCAGAGAUCCCUGAAGGGGGGGGGAAGGGGGGAGCGGGGUCAAAGUGCAAAGGUCACACCCACGGCCAGGGGUCAGGGGUCACAGGGGGAGCCCUGAGGUGAAAGGUCAAAGGUCAAAAGUGCUGAGCGGUGUGCAAAGGUCCCAGGAGGCCCCGGGGGGGGUUAAAGGUCAAGGGUCAGCACCGAAGGGCGGGGGUGUCCAGGCGAGGUCAGAGGUCACCAGGAGGGGUCAGAGGUCAAAGGUCACAGCCGGGGUCAAGCAGAGGUCAGAGGUCAGCAGCAGAGAGUGAGCUCGGGUCAAAGGCCACCGCCAGGGUCAGAGUUCAAAGGUCACCGGCAGAGGUCAGAGGUCACUGGUAGAGGUCAAAGGUCACUCGGAAAGGUGAAAGGUCAACCUCAGAGGUCAGAGGUCGCCGAUGGAGGUCCGAGGUCACCAACAGAGGUCAGGCAGAGGUCAAAGGUCGCCCACAGGGGUCAAAGGUCACCAAAGGAGGUCAAAGGUCACCCACAGGGGUCAGAGGUCGCCGACAGAGGUCACGCCCAGGUCAAAGGCCACAGCAGAGGUCAGAGGUCACCGGUAGAGGUCAAAGGUCACUCGGAGAGGUCAGAGGUCACCCUUAGAGGUCAAAGGUCACCAACAGAGAUCAAAGGUCACCAAAGUAGGUCAAAGGUCACCCACAGAGGUCAGAGGUCAAAGGUCAGGCCA